UGAGAUUCAACUUCUCCAACUGC
rnacentral:miRNA from 2 species